rnacentral:rRNA from 1 species
AGCGUCUGGAAAGGCGUGCGAUACAGGGUGACAGCCCCGUACACAAAAAUGCACAUGCUGUGAGCUCGAUGAGUAGGGCGGGACACGUGGUAUCCUGUCUGAAUAUGGGGGGACCAUCCUCCAAGGCUAAAUACUCCUGACUGACCGAUAGUGAACCAGUACCGUGAGGGAAAGGCGAAAAGAACCCCGGCGAGGGGAGUGAAAAAGAACCUGAAACCGUGUACGUACAAGCAGUGGGAGCACGCUUAGGCGUGUGACUGCGUACCUUUUGUAUAAUGGGUCAGCGACUUAUAUUCUGUAGCAAGGUUAACCGAAUAGGGGAGCCGAAGGGAAACCGAGUCUUAACUGGGCGUUAAGUUGCAGGGUAUAGACCCGAAACCCGGUGAUCUAGCCAUGGGCAGGUUGAAGGUUGGGUAACACUAACUGGAGGACCGAACCGACUAAUGUUGAAAAAUUAGCGGAUGACUUGUGGCUGGGGGUGAAAGGCCAAUCAAACCGGGAGAUAGCUGGUUCUCCCCGAAAGCUAUUUAGGUAGCGCCUCGUGAAUUCAUCUCCGGGGGUAGAGCACUGUUUCGGCAAGGGGGUCAUCCCGACUUACCAACCCGAUGCAAACUGCGAAUACCGGAGAAUGUUAUCACGGGAGACACACGGCGGGUGCUAACGUCCGUCGUGAAGAGGGAAACAACCCAGACCGCCAGCUAAGGUCCCAAAGUCAUGGUUAAGUGGGAAACGAUGUGGGAAGGCCCAGACAGCCAGGAUGUUGGCUUAGAAGCAGCCAUCAUUUAAAGAAAGCGUAAUAGCUCACUGGUCGAGUCGGCCUGCGCGGAAGAUGUAACGGGGCUAAACCAUGCACCGAAGCUGCGGCAGCGACACUGUGUGUUGUUGGGUAGGGGAGCGUUCUGUAAGCCUGCGAAGGUGUGCUGUGAGGCAUGCUGGAGGUAUCAGAAGUGCGAAUGCUGACAUAAGUAACGAUAAAGCGGGUGAAAAGCCCGCUCGCCGGAAGACCAAGGGUUCCUGUCCAACGUUAAUCGGGGCAGGGUGAGUCGACCCCUAAGGCGAGGCCGAAAGGCGUAGUCGAUGGGAAACAGGUUAAUAUUCCUGUACUUGGUGUUACUGCGAAGGGGGGACGGAGAAGGCUAUGUUGGCCGGGCGACGGUUGUCCCGGUUUAAGCGUGUAGGCUGGUUUUCCAGGCAAAUCCGGAAAAUCAAGGCUGAGGCGUGAUGACGAGGCACUACGGUGCUGAAGCAACAAAUGCCCUGCUUCCAGGAAAAGCCUCUAAGCAUCAGGUAACAUCAAAUCGUACCCCAAACCGACACAGGUGGUCAGGUAGAGAAUACCAAGGCGCUUGAGAGAACUCGGGUGAAGGAACUAGGCAAAAUGGUGCCGUAACUUCGGGAGAAGGCACGCUGAUAUGUAGGUGAAGUCCCUCGCGGAUGGAGCUGAAAUCAGUCGAAGAUACCAGCUGGCUGCAACUGUUUAUUAAAAACACAGCACUGUGCAAACACGAAAGUGGACGUAUACGGUGUGACGCCUGCCCGGUGCCGGAAGGUUAAUUGAUGGGGUCAGCGCAAGCGAAGCUCUUGAUCGAAGCCCCGGUAAACGGCGGCCGUAACUAUAACGGUCCUAAGGUAGCGAAAUUCCUUGUCGGGUAAGUUCCGACCUGCACGAAUGGCGUAAUGAUGGCCAGGCUGUCUCCACCCGAGACUCAGUGAAAUUGAACUCGCUGUGAAGAUGCAGUGUACCCGCGGCAAGACGGAAAGACCCCGUGAACCUUUACUAUAGCUUGACACUGAACAUUGAGCCUUGAUGUGUAGGAUAGGUGGGAGGCUUUGAAGUGUGGACGCCAGUCUGCAUGGAGCCGACCUUGAAAUACCACCCUUUAAUGUUUGAUGUUCUAACGUUGACCCGUGAUCCGGGUUGCGGACAGUGUCUGGUGGGUAGUUUGACUGGGGCGGUCUCCUCCUAAAGAGUAACGGAGGAGCACGAAGGUUGGCUAAUCCUGGUCGGACAUCAGGAGGUUAGUGCAAUGGCAUAAGCCAGCUUGACUGCGAGCGUGACGGCGCGAGCAGGUGCGAAAGCAGGUCAUAGUGAUCCGGUGGUUCUGAAUGGAAGGGCCAUCGCUCAACGGAUAAAAGGUACUCCGGGGAUAACAGGCUGAUACCGCCCAAGAGUUCAUAUCGACGGCGGUGUUUGGCACCUCGAUGUCGGCUCAUCACAUCCUGGGGCUGAAGUAGGUCCCAAGGGUAUGGCUGUUCGCCAUUUAAAGUGGUACGCGAGCUGGGUUUAGAACGUCGUGAGACAGUUCGGUCCCUAUCUGCCGUGGGCGCUGGAGAACUGAGGGGGGCUGCUCCUAGUACGAGAGGACCGGAGUGGACGCAUCACUGGUGUUCGGGUUGUCAUGCCAAUGGCACUGCCCGGUAGCUAAAUGCGGAAGAGAUAAGUGCUGAAAGCAUCUAAGCACGAAACUUGCCCCGAGAUGAGUUCUCCCUGACUCCUUGAGAGUCCUGAAGGAACGUUGAAGACGACGACGUUGAUAGGCCGGGUGUGUAAGCGCAGCGAUGCGUUGAGCUAACCGGUACUAAUGAACCGUGAGGCUUAACCUUACAACGCCGAAGGUGUUU